UGUGGGAAAGGCCCGUCAAGAAACAAACUAGAAGAACUUGGGAGGGGUGAAACGAGAAGGAGAGAGCCUGGGACAAUACAGUCCAGGGCUAGACUCAAGGCUUGGUGUUGACCUGUUUAGAGGCCCCAUGCCAGGGCUUCCAGAGAGGGUAGAACUCUUAUCAAGGGGGCAGAUCACAGCUGACACUGGGGAAAGGACAAAUGAGCUUGCUUGACCCAGAAGGAGAGGAUUAAUUGAUUUCAUAUCCUUCCAUUUUCCCCCAGCAUCUCCUACCAAACUGGAGAUGACUGUUUUAGAAGAGUAGCCGAGGUAGUGCUCUCUUCCCCAUAGCAAGAAGACCAGGGAGCCUGUAGAAGAGGGUGUGUUUGUGGAUUCCCUCAGCUACUACAGAGGACUAAGAAACAGUCUGCACUGCCACCUAGUGAGGUGACACUGUGAUCAAGAGGAAGCUGGAGGGACUGAGCAGAGCCCCAGAGGGCUGGAGCUGAGCCCCAGAGUUGGAGCGGAAGAGCAAUUGUGGAGGUGUUCUAUAAGGCAAGGCUGGGCCCACCUUGAGACUGGGGCAGAAGAUUUUUGUUUUGUGUCUGGACUUGAUGCACAGGAAGGGGUGCGCUUGUUGUGAUCUGGCCAGAGGGCUAAGUCACCUCAGUAGCCAACCCGCGUUGCGGGUGAGAGAACCGUAGAAGAUGAAGUGGGCCCUGAGCCAGACCAGGUUACCUAAGAGAGGGUUGCUCUACCAGAUUAGAUCCUGCCUCCAGUGAUGGCCAGUAUGGGAUUUUUCAGAAGAAGGUGAACCCCCAGACAAAUUAUAGAGUGAACUUUCGACUGGUUAUUGGAGGUAGGAAGAAGCUACCUUGAUGUAUCUCUGGGUUUUCGCCAAUGACUAUUUGGUGCUGUUCAGUUGUACCCUCUGGCCCAGAAAUGAGAUCAUGUGGUGAAGGAGCCAACAACUUCUCACAGUCGUCAUCAGCCUCUGAUCUGGACUUGUCACAAGAAGCUGCUGGAAUGAAAGAGGAAUAUGAAAUGGAGAUACUAGCCACUGCUCAUGUGACUCAUUCUUUCACCAGUUUAUUGGAAAAAAAGUUUCUGAACCUCUGUAUUUUCCUGUUAUUUCUCUUGUAUUGUGAAAUCAGACUUGGUGAAAUCAGGGGACACAGCAGCCACAAGCAGCAUCUUUAAACUCUUCUUCAUGUCAAGAAAUUGACCUGACUGACAUAACUUGCUGUCUCAGCCAGCAAGACUGGUGCAAUGCUGGAAUGGGAGAAAUCAAACUACAGUGGUGGGCGAACCAGAUUAGUGUUCCUAACAGGAGCAUAUUUGAUAGCUGAGUUUAACAGCUUCUUUGGUCAACACCUGGCCUUGAAGAAACAUGAAAUCCACCUCCAUGAUGAGAAUAUUCUCCUAUAAUUCAAUAUCGGGGUUCUACACACGGGUUCUCUUCACUUUUUUGAACAACCUCUGUUUAGUGCACAGUUCUGAGUAUCUCACUGAAGCCAGACUCUAGACUUGUGGGACUGAUGUUACAUUCUGUUCUACCCUCAGAUACUGGUAUAAUUAGUCAACUACCAGUGACUUCAUUGGGAGUUACAUGCAUAUAUCUGAGGGCAGAACUUGGCCCUAAAUGGU